GAUGAAGAACGUAGCGAAAUGCGAUAAGUAAUGUGAAUUGCAGAAUUCAGUGAAUCAUCGAAUCUUUGAACGCACAUUGCGCCCCUUGGUAUUCCGAGGGGCAUGCCUGUUCGAGCGUCAUUAUAACCCUUCAAGCUCAGCUUGGUGUUGGGGCCUACUGUAACUGGCAGCCCUUAAAAUCAGUGGCAGUGUCAUUAGGCUCUAAGCGUAGUAAUUUUUCUCGCUAUAGUGUGUACUGGGCGCUAGUCAGAACCCCAAACUUUUAUAUGAUUGACCUCGGAUCAGGUAGGGAUACCCGCUGAACUUAAGCAUAUCAAUAAGCGGAGGA
rnacentral:misc_RNA from 1 species